rnacentral:rRNA from 1 species
UACAGAGGUCCCAAGCGUUGUUCGGAUUCACUGGGCGUAAGGGGUGCGCAGGUGGGUUUGCAAGUUCGAUGUGAAAGCCCCGGGCUUAACCCGGGAAUGGCAUUGGAUACUGCAGAUCUGGAGGAUCGGAGGGGGGACUGGAAUUCUUGGUGUAGCAGUGAAAUGCGUAGAUAUCAAGAGGAACACCAGUGGCGAAGGCGGGUCUCUGGGCUGACACUGACGCUCAUGCACGAAAGCGUGGGGAGCAAACAGG